GUGAAGAAGAACCAUCAAGAUUUUGAGCUGUUUAAAAAAAAUUGAAGCCAAAGAGAGCAUUGAACUUCAAAAUCCGUAGGAUAAGAUAAGAUGAGGAAGCAGGUUGUGCUUAUGCUUCUGCUGGUAGUGGUUGCCUUCUUCUCUUCAGGUCCUGCGGGCAUUGAGGCAAACUGCUACAAGAACAUGGGAUUGCUCAACUGCAAAAACAGCGAUUGCUCCACACUGUGUGGGUUCCGAUUUCCCGGCGAGCUGAUUAGCAGCAAAUGUACGAACGUCGGCAACUGUCAGUGCGAGACUAAUUGUCUUUAAUUAAUUAAUUAAUUAAUUACUUGCUUCCAUCUCACCAUUGUGAGUUUCGUCAUGUGCUAAUAAAGAAGCAGGGAUUAAUUUGGGAUGCAAAAA